AGAUGUAUAUCAUAUUCUAGAGUGCUAGAUUACACUGGAGAACAAAACAAUUAGUUGUCCACCAGUCUUGUUUAUAUCAAUGCUUGCAUCCUCCGAGGCUUAUCAGGAGAGAAUCUAGUUUUCCAUGGAAACAAGGGUGAUCGUGCAUUAUUUAUUCACUCAUGUUACUAAAGCUUCUAUUGUCAAGGAGGCAGUAAUAUUCCAAGUGCAUAAGUACUUCUUAUUCAGUAAUAUUAAGCAUGAUUAUACAAAACUACAUAUUAAAAAGGUAUAUGAAUCAUAGUCUAGACAUCUCACACUUGCUAGCAUGCGUAAGUGUGUAUGUAAAUUUGAUCGAUUUUGUUUAACUUUAGGUACUUCUAAAUUCUCAUAUGUUUGUAUUUAUUCACAUAUUAUGAUGAACUACAAACUUUUCUAGAUCAGACGAAAGCAUAACAACAAAAAAUGUUUCAUGAGAUGCCACUUCACAUCUUUUAUUCUCACCAGUAUGUGAAUUUUAAGUUGUUACUUAGUGAACUAUAGUCUUGCAGGUUUACACAUAAUAUUAAAGAUAUAAAUAUACAUGAUGUAAUCAGAUUGCGCAUUUGAAUGAGUGCUGCAAGCUGGGAAGGUAAAUAUGACCAGCGAUGAUGGCAGUACGUCAAUGACGUCAUGGAGGAUAAUUAACUCUAACAACUGCUCUGUGCCUGCGCCUAUUCAUAUGCUCUGCCUUCGGAAGUGCAAACCAAUAAAAAGGUAAGCUCCAAACAUAGAGCCUUUUUCUAAUUUGUAUUUUGUUUCCUAUAAUUUCUGAUGACUAUAAAUGUGAACAUGACCCAGUAUUUACAAGCAUAAGUUGUGGUUAGCUUUAUCAUCUCUUUCACAUUUAGCACAAUCUGUUCACCUAGUGCAAUCAACAUUAUUAAUUGAAUAUGUGGCUGGGCAUUCACUAUACCAAAUUUACAGGAAAUGUAGCCUCAAUUAAUUUUUGUUACUUGCAUGUUUUUUCUUUGCUUAUAUUGGCUGGUACCUGCACUUAAAUUCAUCGAGAACUUAUUAUUACCCUAAGUGCUAUAUUAACUGUUCGUAUUUCAUUCAUUGCUAGAGAGAUGCAGAAUAUGCAGUUUUCUAUAGCUGCAAUUGGCAUUAACUAUCUUCAAGAUAUGGAGUCAUGGAUGCCAAGGGAAACUGAUCAUUUUGGUUUUAGUUAAUGAAGGUUGAACAUGUCAGUCUAGAUGCUCAUGUGAUGAGCUUAGUUUUUUGUUUCCUUUAAUGAAGCUUCGAUCUGUUUCUGUGUAGAGUGCACAUGUUCUUGUAAAACACAUGUGUACAAGAUGAUGGUGUAAAGCAACAAUGUGUUCUUUGGAUGGUGUUCUUUGUAAAACAACAUUGUUGAUUUAAUAUAUGAGGUCUUUCUUACUA